CUGGGGAGCGGUGAAAUGCGUAGAUAUUGGAAGGAACACCAGUGGCGAAGGCGACCACCUGGACCGAUACUGACAGUGAGGUGCGAAAGCGUGGGGAGCAAACCGGAUUAGAUACCCUGGUAGUUCACGCCGUAAACGAUGUCAACUAGCCGUUGGAAUCCUUGAGAUCUUAGUGGCGCAGCUAACGCAUUAAGUUGACCGCCUGGGGAGUACGGCCGCAAGGUUAAAACUCAAAUGAAUUGACGGGGGCCCGCACCAGCGGUGGAGCAUGUGGUUUAAUUUGAAGCAACGGGAAGAACCUUACCAGGCCUUGACCAGCCGAGAAAUUUCCAAAGGAGGAGAGGGGCCUUCGGGAACUCUGACACCGGUGGUGCCAGGCCGUUGUCAGCUUGUGUCGUGAGAAGUUGGGGUAAGUCCCGUAACGAGGGCAACCCUUGUCCUUAGUUACCAGCACGUCCUGCUGGGCACUCUAAGGAGACUGCCGGUGACAAACCGGAGGAAGGUGGGGAUGACGUCAAGUCAUCAUGGCCCUUACGGCCAGGGCUACACACGUGCUACAAUGGUCGGUACAGAGGGAAGCCAAGCCGCGAGAGCGAGCUAAUCUCACAAAACCGAUCGUAGUCCGGAUCGCAGUCUGCAACUCGACUGCGUGAAGUCGGAAUCGCUAGUAAUCGCGAAUCAGAAUGUCGCGGUGAAUACG
rnacentral:rRNA from 1 species